rnacentral:lncRNA from 1 species
AUUUUCAUAGAUGACCAGCAGGGGCAAAUAAUAAUCACAGUGGUUGUCGAGGGUGCAACAGGUCAGCACCUCAGCAGUAAAUGUCAGGUGGCUUUUCAUAGCUGAUCAUUAAGAGUAUCUCUACCGCCAUUACGACAACCUCUUUUACGAGUUGAUUGGGUAGCUGGGUGAACGGAAUCAGGUGCAGCUUGUAUAAUUAGUACAGCUCAUCGGUUCUUUAAAAAAAAAUAUCCAAAACGUGGUCAAUGGCCCAACCCUCUUCAAUUCCCUAUUUAAUUCCCAUCACGCCUGCCAUACUGGUUCCUAGAUAGUUAUAUUCGUUUUGCGAGUACGUAAAAUCUGUUCAUUGCCUGCCUCCCCCCCCAAUUUUAGCGUAAUAAUUUAAAGAGCUUAGUGUUCUUAAAGCCUUUGUGUGCUUAGACAUACUUUCAAAAGCCUUUGAAAAUUCAGUCAAACAAAUAUACAUGGUAAACUGUAGAAAAUACCAACACUGAUUGAUGAGAUGAGGAAGUGGAACUGAAUUGUGUAGGAAAUGUCCUUCUCUUCACCCUGCGUUUUGUUUAAUUCUCCUACAGAUAUGGAAACAACCGCGUCUACAGCACAGCAUGCAUUUGGAGCGGGCCCUCGUGGGCCCAACCCAGCCCAUGGACCUCAACCGGGCCAGGGCCCCCGACACCCAGGUCAUCCUGGACCUUACGGAGUUCCACGUCCCGAGGACCAGCCCCCACACCAGCAACAGCCCCAUCACCACAUCCAGCACAGCAGACCAUUCUUCUACAUACACCCUUCCCAGCCAUACCCUUCCCAGCCAUUUCCUUCCCAGCCAUUUCCUUCCCAGCCAUUUCCUUCCCAGCCAUUUCCUUCCCAGCCAUUUCCUUCCCAGCCAUUUCCUUCCCAGCCAUUUCCUUCCCAGCCAUUUCCUUCCCAGCCAUUUCCUUCCCAGCCAUUUCCUUCCCAGCCAUUUCCUUCCCAGCCAUUCCCUUCCCAGCCAUUCCCCUCUGCUCUACCCUAUCAGUGGCCCAUGCCAUACAACCCUUACUGCGGCUUCCCUGGGAUGGGAGGUUAUGGUAUGAUGAUACCGAGUCCCUUCCAGCCCAGUCCCUACAUGGAGCCUCCAGGUUACAUCCUGCCACACUCUCAGCUCCACCUGGCGGACUACAGGCGUAUGAUCAACCCCCACUACCACACUACCCACUACCCACAGACCAUGGCUUACCAUGCACGCAGGUUCCGCUACCAGCACAAUGCCCCAGCCACCAGCAGGGAGAUGAUCAACUCUGAGGUACAGACUGAGCCCACAUUAGGAGCAGCACGCUCUGACCCCAAACUCUCUAACGCUGACUCGUCUAUGAAAAGUAAUGUCCAAACCAACUCUGAAUCUGGCAGCGACACCAGUUGCACAGCUGCCCAGUCACUAUCCCCAGCCUCUGCUGUGCAGGAGGUGAUGUCUAAAUCACCAGCUUACCAGGAUGUUGUAUUGGCACCCACCCCCAACAACACUCCUAUUUCCACCAGGUCUGCUGCACCCCAGAAGGGUAGCUUUGUGUUCCAGACAGAGGUGGAGGAAUUGAGGCUGGAGUGCCGCAGCACGCCCACAGGAUUAAAUAUCCUCCACUCCCAUGAGACAUCUGAACUGUGCACCGCCCACAGCGUGUCUGCGACCGAUGAAGACUUGGUACAGCUCUGCUCUUCCUCCUCCCUCCACCACAAGGUCUCACAGGGCACGAUGCUCCAUGGCCAGGAGGGGAUGGGUUUGGUUGGGGAGGAGGGGGAUCAGUGUCUCCAGCAAGCCUGCACGGAUAUACUUCUAAUGGAUGGGGCAUGCUCGAGUGGCGGACCAGAUAACUUCCUUGCUCUUGACGAUUGUGACUCAUUCAUCGCUAAAACACUGGCCGAACGACCAGGGAAUUCUGAAUCCGAUAUGGACUACAGAGUGGUGGUCCAAAGCCACACCGCAGAUGGUCCUCAAUUUACAAGUGAUGAAGGAGAACUGAGCUCCAAGAGUGUCUAUUUUAAGAUCCUCCACCUGCCCUUUGACAUGCAGUACUUAGAAGAGCUGAGGAAGAUUGAGGCGUCUGUGUGGUCGGCGUCUCUGGCACCGUACGUCCCCUCAGCAGAGUUUAUGAUCCAGCAGGGCCUGAUGGAGCCACACAGGGAGGCACUGAGCCCUGUGGUCAUGGAGGAAGUCCCCAUGGUGGAGGAAGUCCCCACGGCAGAGGUGGUCCCCAUGGUGGAGGUUGAGGUCCCUGGGGCGGAGAAGGUCCCCACAGCUGAGGUGGUCUCUCUAGUGGAGGGAAUCCCCAUUGCGGAGAGCCCUUCGAAUGAAAAUGUUUUAUUGGCAGAGAUGGUCCUCAAUGUGAUGGAGGUACCUGUAAUAUCCAGUCCUAACAAAACAGACAAUGCGCCCAUGUCUCCAGAGACCAGUCAAAAGAGGGGUGCGGUGAGUGACCUUGAUCAUCAGGAUACCUCCUUUGGGGGGUUACCCACGUACCGUCCCUCAACUAGCUGGCUGGGCGACUUUGGCAACGUCUACUAUCACAGCAAGAUGCCUUCUGAUGUUGAGGCGCAGCGCAAGAUCCUCAGAGGCAGCCCACUUAAGGUGUCUAGCCCCAAACGGAAACCAAACCAUGACCAAGAGCCUAAAGAUCCUCAUUGUGUUUCAGUCACUACAACCGCUCCACUCAGGCUUAAGGGAGAGGGAUGCAGACCCGGAGACAAGGUUGACAGGAGGAGCUACUCUGAUCAAGAGUUCUGUGCGAACCGGACCUUCAAUGUGACCUCUGGUGGCCACAAAAGGGAGCGCAUCUGUGCCAGAUGUUUGACGACAAAAUGCAGAGUAAACAAGAGACCUGGCAGUCCAGGUCCAGGCCUGGAUGCUCCGAUUGUAAAACGACAAGGGGUCCCCGUUCCACCAUGGGAGGAAUAUAUCCUAGCCCAGACUUGUGCAGCCUGCAAAUGCCUUGCCCGGAGGCGGGUAACGAGGAAAGGUUCCGGUUCAGAUGUUCCCAGCGGACCACAAAACGAAGAGACGGAGGGUGAGACCUCUGAGAACAGUUCUUGUCGGGCAGGACCGGGGCCCAAACUGAGGGACCCCAGGAGGCCUCAGUCCUCCAUGAAGCGCCACUCUGAGAAGUGUCCCAUGGGUCCACACUCAAAACUGAGGGAGAAGAACUGUUCCUGUGAAGAGCCCCAUCGGCCCCCCGCUGCUGUGUUGGGGGGGCCACGCCGCCAUCCCCAUGGCGAUGUCACCAGGGAGCGAAAUGAGGAGAACCUUGGCGUGUGCGUCUCUGUCCCACUUCAGGACAAAUGGAGAAACCAACACCAGGACCAAUGCUACCUCGCGGCACAGAAAUCUCAACAAGAGAAGUUGUGGAAAGCGGCUUUGGCCAACCCUGACAACACUGAAAGUAAUAUUAAGCUCGGACCCAGAGACUUGAUUAAACAGAAGAAACAGGUUUCUCAAUCACAAGGACUUCACAGAAAAGACACAAGAUGCUAA